rnacentral:misc_RNA from 1 species
GAUGAAGAACGCAGCGAAAUGCGAUAAAUAAUGUGAAUUGCAGAAUUCAGUGAAUCAUCGAGUCUUUGAACGCACAUUGUGCCCCCUGGUAUUCCGGGGGGCAUGCCUGUCCGAGCGUCAUUGCUGCCCUCAAGCACGGCUUGUGUGUUGGGCCCCCGUCCCCCCCUCCCGGGGGACGGGCCCGAAAGGCAGCGGCGGCACCGCGUCCGGUCCUCGAGCGUAUGGGGCUUUGUCACCCGCUCUGUAGGCCCGGCCGGCGCCUGCCGACCACCAUCAAUCUUUUUUCAGGUUGACCUCGGAUCAGGUAGGGAUACCCGCUGAACUUAAGCAUAUCAAUAAGCGGAGGA